CAGCAGCCGCGGGAAUACAGAGGGUGCGAGCGUUAAUCGGAUUUACUGGGCGUAAAGCGUGCGUAGGCGGCUUUUUAAGUCGGAUGUGAAAUCCCUGAGCUUAACUUAGGAAUUGCAUUCGAUACUGGGAAGCUAGAGUAUGGGAGAGGAUGGUAGAAUUCCAGGUGUAGCGGUGAAAUGCGUAGAGAUCUGGAGGAAUACCGAUGGCGAAGGCAGCCAUCUGGCCUAAUACUGACGCUGAGGUACAAAAGCAUGGGGAGCAAACAGGAUUAGAUACCCGAGUAGUCCCUGUCUCUUAUAC
rnacentral:rRNA from 1 species